UAUAUAUAUAUAUAUCUCCAAUCAAUUUUCUAUUUCUAUACCUAGAUGGCAAGCAAUCCAGGGGGUAAAAUCAUAUAAUCAUGCAGAUUUGCCCAAUUUCAUAUUUACAGUUUUUAACUUACCACAUCUUUCUGUUGGUGUCAGAUUCAUCUCAUCUCUGGUUGACUUCCUCUCAUUCUUAAAUUUUGCAGUACUGGUGAUUGAAUCCUUGGCCUCACGCAUGCUAGGUAAGCAUUCUCUGAGCUACAUGUCCAGCCAUUUUUUUUUUUUUAAUUUUGAGAUGGUCUUGCUAAAUUGCUCAGGCUGGUUUCUAACUUGUGACCCUCCUGCCUCAGCCUCACAAGUAGCUGGGAUAAGAAGUGUGUGCCACUAUGCCCGACAUUCCUCUCAUUCUCAGGCAUCUUAUUCCUAAAGGUUACCACUCUCACAGGCUCCAGAAUUCCACUAGUCUUUGUAAGGAAAAUAAAAUAAGGGUGACACAGACACAAGAUGCAGAGGCAGGAAAAGUGACUGCUUGUCCAAGUGGGCACGUUUAUUUAUAUCAAUAAUUUACAUUAGAUCAUUAGUACCAUAUCUACAUUAUUGUUUAUACAGUGUCAGUAAGAUUGCUUAUUCUGCAGUUACAGUUACAAUAUGCAGUGUCAGGAGAUUUGUGCAGCUCUUAAGAAAAUCCAUUGUAUAAAGUUACUAUUAUGUGGACAGAUUUAGGUUCAGUGAAUCAUUGUGGUUUUCUAACAAGAGAGUCCCUAUAUUCCCCAGGAGCUGUGUGCCUGAGAUGAAGGUUGAAGCUGAUACGACUUUAACAGAGCUUUCUUGUGAAGGACAUCUCUAAAGCAGCCAGGCAUCCCAUGUCUUUACACAGAAGUUUCCCAGCAGCCAGGCAUUCUGUGCCUUUGCACAGAAACUUCCUAGCCACUAAGCAUGCCACAAUCACAAAGUUUAUCAGAGACCCCCAGUCCCAAACACAGAGCCCUUACAAGUCUUCACAAACCUUGAUUCUUAAUUUGUUGAGAGUUGAAGUCUUCAGAAAUGAGUCUUUUAGCUCCAGGUUCUCUACUUCAAUAUUUAUCUUUUCUUUCAAUCUCAGGAGGAAGUGCCUCCCUUGCCGUAAGUAUAACCUCUCUAAUUAAACCUGGAUUUUUCCUCUCCUGCUUGUGUUUGGGACUUGCACCAUUAUAUCUUCUUUAUCUUGCAUUUGUCUUCCCACUUUUACUGAAUCCUUAACCAAAAUGAAUGAACAUGUCUCCCUUUUCCCAAAACAUUCCUGCUCAAGAUGCUUGUGAAAAGAUUCUCAAUGUUUUCAUUACAAAAUUUCUUCAGAGUAUCAUUCUUGUUGACCAUUUCCUGUCUCUACAGCUGAUUAAUUCUCAUACUGCUUUUAUUUCUAAAAUAUACUGUGUGUUAGUAUUGAGUGCCUACUAUGUCAAGCACUAGACUAGAUAUUGGAUGUUCAUAGGGAGUUAAAAAGACAUGAUCACUGACCUCAGGAAUUGACAGUUUAGUAUAAUGCCUUUCAGACAUUUUAAAAAUCAGACCAAAGUAAAAAAUAUAUUUUACAUUGUGCCUUAACACACAUUUAUGCAUACCUAAUAAGCUUAACAAUACGAUGCUUGUUCCUUACUAUUUACUUCUCUGAUAUUUUCCUUUUUUUUUUUUGUGUGUGUGUAUGUGUCUUUUAAAAAUUGGUUCUGCGUGCAGUGGCACAAACCUGUAAUCCCAGUGGCUCAGGAGGCUGAGGCAGAAGGAUUGUGAGUUCAAAGACAGCCUCAACAAAAGCAAGGCCCUAAGCAACUCAGAGAGACCUUGUCUCAAAAUACAAAAUAGGGCUAGGAUGUGGCUCAGUGGUCAAGUGCCCCUAAGUUCAAUCCCUGGUGCCCGCCCCACACACCAAAAAAAAAAAAAUUGGUCUUUUUUGUUGGGGGUACUGUGGAUGGAACCUAGGGGCACUUAAGCACUCAGCCACAACCCCAGCCCUUUUUACUUUUUAUUGUUCUUAUCACUCAUUAAUAUAUCAAGACCUCAGUUUUAAAAUCUUUGGCUUAGGAGAAGAUAAUUAGUUACAAGAUAAAAAUGGUAUUAAGGAAAAGCUGAGAUAGUGAUUAACAGGCAAUAAUAGGGAUUACCUAGGUAGAACUACCAGGAAGAUGACAUUUAAACAGGAUAAGAAGAAAGCCAUGCAAAGUGGGUGGAUGGGGAGGAGAGUAUUCAAGGUUAUGUCAGUUAUUGCUGUGUAACAAACCAUUCUAAAACUUAAUAGCUUAAAACAAGAAUCAUUUUACUCAUAAAUAUACAAUUCGAACAGGCUUUGGUAGGGAUAGCGUAUUUGAUCCAACAGCAUUAACUAGGAGAAUUUAACUGGAGCCAGAAAUAUCUUCCAAGAUAGCUUAUUCACAUGGCUGGCAAAUGAGUUUGUUGUAUGCUGGGAGCUCUUUGGUGACUGGACUGAGGGCUUUGGUUCCUCUCCAUGUGGACUGCCUGGACUUCCUCACAAGCAGGUGGAUGGGUUCCAAGAACAAGCAACCAAAGAAGCAGGGCAGAACCUAUUUUAUGCCACAGCUUUGGAAGUAAUAUAGUAUCACUUCUGGGGUCUCAAGCACAAAUUCAAGGAGAGGGAACACAGUUACUCAUCCCCACAGAAGGAAUUUCAUAGUCAUAAGAUCUGCAAUGAGAUUUCAGUGGCAAGUACAAUUUGCCAAACAGAACAGCAUACAGGAAGGCUCUAAAGCAGGAAAGACUGGGCUUCUUGACAGUGUUGAGGGAAUAGGCAAACAAGGUGGAAAAUCAGGAAAGGUGAAGGUGGAGAUGGGUAGAGACCAGAUCAUGUAGAGACUGAUAGGCUACAGGAGAGCUUGGUCUUAAGUGCGACAAGAAGUUUUAAUAAAGAUUACUGUUCUGUGGAGAAUGGACUGGAAUGAAGCAAGAUUGGGAGUGGCCAGUAGUUGGAAGCUACUGCUGAGGUGCAGGCAAGUGCCAUGGAAAGAAGUGGACAGUGUUCGGCCCUUGUUAAAAAUUAAGGAUGGCGGGGAUGGGGCUGUAGCUCAGUGGCAGAGUGCUUGCCUAGCAUGUGUGAGGCACUGGGUUCCAUCCUCAGCACCACAUUAAAAAAAAUAAAAAAAAAAACCUAAGGCAUGCUGUCCAUCUACAACUAUAAAAAAAUUUUUAAAAAUUAGGGAUAGCAAUGAGUUGAAAUGCAUUCUGCUGUCAUAUAUAACUAAUUAGAACAAAUUUUUAAAAGAAAAAAAAAUGAGGGAUGGAUGAUUCCUAUUUUCAGGACAUGGCUUAAUUUUGGUUCAUUUAAAAAGGAAAUAAUGAGACUAUGUUAACUUGCUAGGGCUACCAUAACACCCACUGAUUGGAUGGCUCCAAGUUCAAGAUAGGGUGUCUUCUGAGACCUUGGCUUGUGGACAAGCACCCCAUAUUCCCACAGCUUCCCUCUGAAUGCAUGCAUAUCUGUGAGGUCCUCUUAGGACCUCAGUCACAUCGAUUAAGGCCCACUCAAACACUUCAUUUUAACUCAAUUGCCUCUUUAACGACCUGAUCUCUACAUAUGGCUACAUUUUUCUAUUUUUUAGAAGAGGAAGAACAGGUGUGGAUGCAGG
rnacentral:lncRNA from 1 species